UCUGUUCNGGAAGGGAGUAUAUCAUACAUCCCUGUGUUUAUUUACUUUUGUUGCUUUGGCGGGCCGUCCUUUUAGGCGUCGGCCCCNGCUGAUCGCGCCCGCCANAGGACCCANACUCUUCUAUCANUGAUGUCUGAGAUACUAUAUAAUAGUUAAAACUUUCAACAACGGAUCUCUUGGUUCUGGCAUCNAUGAAAAACGCANCGAAAUGCGAUAAGUAAUGUGAAUUGCAGAAUUCAUUGAAUCAUCUGUAAUCUUUGAACGCACAUUGCGCCCGCCGGUAUUCCGGCGGGCAUGCCUGUUCUGAGCGUCAUUAUGACCAAUCAAGCUCUGCUUGGCUUUGGGGCCCGCUGUAUCGGCGGCCCUUAAAAUCAGUGGCGGUGCCGUCUGGCUCUAAGCGUANUAAUACUUCUCGCUAUAUGGUUUAGUCUUCCACCCGCUANAACCCCCAACUUUCUUANGUUGACCUCGGAUCANGUANGGAUACCCGCUGAACUUAAGCAUAUCAAUAAGCGGACGAAAAGAAACCAACAGGGAUUGCCUCAGUAUCGGCNAGUGAAGCGGCAACAGCUCAGAUUUGAAAUCUGCCUCUAGGCCGAGUUGUAAUUUGUAGAACAUGCUUC
rnacentral:rRNA from 1 species